GCAAGAAUGGCGAAACUGGAUAAACGCGCUAGACCUAGGAUCUAGUGUUUUUAUAAACAUUGUAGGUUCAAGUCCUACUUCUUGCA
rnacentral:tRNA from 1 species